AAAUGCGAUAAGUAAUGUGAAUUGCAGAAUUCAGUGAAUCAUCGAAUCUUUGAACGCACCUUGCGCUCCUUGGUAUUCCUUGGAGCAUGCCUGUUUGAGUAUCAUGAAAUCUUCAAAGUAAAUCUUUUGUUAACUCAAUUGGUUUCUACUUUGGUAUUGGAGGUCUUUGCAGCUUCACACCUGCUCCUCUUUGUUCAUUAGCUGGAUCUCAGUGUUAUGCUUGGUUCCACUCGGCGUGAUAAGUUAUCUAUCGCUGAGGACACUGUAAAAGGUGGCCAAGGUAAAUGCAGAUGAACCGCUUCUAAUAGUCCAUUGACUUGGACAAUACUUUUAUGAUCUGAUCUCAAAUUAGACAAGAUUACCCGCUGAACUUAAGC
rnacentral:misc_RNA from 1 species